rnacentral:lncRNA from 1 species
CAAGCGCGGAGCACGCGUCGCGCGGCACAAGGGCGACGAUGGCCGCGGGUGGCCGGGGAGGCCGAUCUCUGCGCGGGGACAGGGAUGACUCAGGUGACCGUGAGCAGCGUGUUGGUGGUGACCCGCGUGCUCGAUGCCGUGAACCUGCAGCUCGGCUGGGUGCGCUACCUGGUGGGGUUGGCGUGCUCGAGCCCAGAGCCAGCGCUGCGGUUUGGAAUGCGCGCAGCGCAGAUGCUGAGUGGCGAGGCAGACCGUCCAUAUGAGUUUCAGCGCCAACCACCAGCUGUUGCUGUGCUGAGCCUGCACGGACUUGCUGAGCUCGUCGUUGACGACCAGAAUGCUGCAGAGGGGCGGCAGGACAUCGGGUUCAGCAGUGAGAGAGGCAAUCGAGUGUUUUAUACGUACAUCAUGCACGUCGGUCAGUAACGGACGUCGCCGAAAGAUUAGACCAAGAUCAAACUGACCGAACUACAAUGCUAACAAGCAGCACCAGCUCCUAUGGCUAACUAGAGUUCCUCUUCCUUGUCGUUGACGACCUUCUAUGUGUAUCGAGUACAUAGAUUAGCAGCAACGGACUCCAAAGUCGAUCCAAAUC